AAGCAUAUCAAUAAGCGGAGGAAAAGAAACUAACAAGGAUUCCCCUAGUAACUGCGUAGUGAAGCGGGAAAAGCUCAAAUUUAAAAUCUGGCGGUCUCUGGCCGUCCGAGUUGUAAUCUAGAGAAGUGAUGCCCGCGCUGGACCGUGUACAAGUCUCCUGGAAUGGAGCGUCAUAGAGGGUGAGAAUCCCGUCUCUGACACGGACUACCAGGGCUUUGUGGUACGCUCUCAAAGAGUCGAGUUGUUUGGGAAUGCAGCUCUAAAUGGGUGGUAAAUUCCAUCUAAAGCUAAAUAUUGGCGAGAGACCGAUAGCGAACAAGUACCGUGAGGGAAAGAUGAAAAGAACUUUGGAAAGAGAGUUAAACAGUACGUGAAAUUGCUGAAAGGGAAACGCUUGAAGUCAGUCGCGUUGGCUAGGAAUCAGCCUCGCUUUUGCGUGGUGUACUUUCUGGUUGACGGGUCAGCAUCAAUUUUGACCGCUGGAAAAAGGCUUGGGGAAUGUGGCAGCUUCGGCUGUGUUAUAGCCCUUUGUCACAUACAGCGGUUGGGAUUGAGGAACUCAGCACGCCGCAAGGCCGGGUUUCGACCACGUUCGUGCUUAGGAUGCUGGCAUAAUGGCUUUAAGCGACCCGUCUUGAAACACGGACCAAGGAGUCUAACAUGCCUGCGAGUGUUUGGGUGGAAAACCCGGGCGCGUAAUGAAAGUGAAAGUUGAGAUCCCUGUCGUGGGGAGCAUCGACGCCCGGACCUGAACUUUUGUGACGGAUCCGCGGUAGAGCAUGUAUGUUGGGACCCGAAAGAUGGUGAACUAUGCCUGAAUAGGGUGAAGCCAGAGGAAACUCUGGUGGAGGCUCGUAGCGAUUCUGACGUGCAAAUCGAUCGUCA
rnacentral:rRNA from 1 species